rnacentral:rRNA from 1 species
AUUGAACGCUGGCGGCAGGCCUAACACAUGCAAGUCGAGCGGAUGAAGGGAGCUUGCUUCCUGAUUCAGCGGCGGACGGGUGAGUAAUGUCUGGGAAACUGCCUGAUGGAGGGGGAUAACUACUGGAAACGGUAGCUAAUACCGCAUAACGUCGCAAGACCAAAGUGGGGGACCUUCGGGCCUCAUGCCAUCAGAUGUGCCCAGAUGGGAUUAGCUAGUAGGUGGGGUAAUGGCUCACCUAGGCGACGAUCCCUAGCUGGUCUGAGAGGAUGACCAGCCACACUGGAACUGAGACACGGUCCAGACUCCUACGGGAGGCAGCAGUGGGGAAUAUUGCACAAUGGGCGCAAGCCUGAUGCAGCCAUGCCGCGUGUAUGAAGAAGGCCUUCGGGUUGUAAAGUACUUUCAGCGAGGAGGAAGGCGUUAAGGUUAAUAACCUUGGCGAUUGACGUUACUCGCAGAAGAAGCACCGGCUAACUCCGUGCCAGCAGCCGCCGGUAACAC